rnacentral:rRNA from 1 species
CCUACGGGAGGCAGCAGUAAGGAAUAUUGGACAAUGGGCGCAAGCCUGAUCCAGCCAUGCCGCGUGAAGGAUUAAGGUCCUCUGGAUUGUAAACUUCUUUUAUAGGGGACGAAAAAAGGGCAUUCUUGCUCACUUGACGGUACCCUAUGAAUAAGCACCGGCUAACUCCGUGCCAGCAGCCGCGGUAAUACGGAGGGUGCAAGCGUUAUCCGGAUUCACUGGGUUUAAAGGGUGCGUAGGCGGGUCAGGUAAGUCAGUGGUGAAAUCCUAGAGCUUAACUCUAGAACUGCCAUUGAUACUAUCUGUCUUGAAUAUUGUGGAGGUAAGCGGAAUAUGUCAUGUAGCGGUGAAAUGCUUAGAUAUGACAUAGAACACCUAUUGCGAAGGCAGCUUACUACGCAUAUAUUGACGCUGAGGCACGAAAGCGUGGGGAUCAAACAGGAUUAGAUACCCUGGUAGUCCACGCCCUAAACGAUGGAUACUCGACAUACGCGAUACACUGUGUGUGUGUGAGACGAAGAGAGUUAAGUAUCCUUACCGUUAGGUAAGUUACGUUACCGCGAGGAGAGAACGACAAGAGAGUUAGACGGCGNGAGACGNGCGACGGACGACGACGAGGGAGUAGG